GCUGGGUGUGAUGGCUCACACCUGUAAUCCCAACACUUUGGGAGGUCGAGGCUGGUGGAUCACUUGAGGCCAGGAGUCCAAGACCAGCCUGGCCAACAUAGUGAAACCCUGUCUCUA
rnacentral:SRP_RNA from 1 species